rnacentral:lncRNA from 1 species
AACAUUUCCAAACCUCUGCUUGCAUUGCACAGCAAGGUCAACGCUGAUGAGAGCUGAGGCACGCUCGUGUGCUAAUCUGUCUUUCUAUAGGAUUUGCUGCUCCGUAAGAAAUUCUUAUUCAUCUCUAAAGGUGCUCCUCAUUGGCUGAAUUCAGUAAGAAGCCAGAGGGGGGUAACCUGUAAAUGCAGCCCAUCCCUUGCUAGAAUCCAGCCAGUCUCCUGGGCCAUGGAGC